rnacentral:rRNA from 1 species
CGCGUGAGUGAUGAAGGUUUUCGGAUCGUAAAGCUCUGUUGUUAGGGAAGAACAAGUGCAAGAGUAACUGCUUGCACCUUGACGGUACCUAACCAGAAAGCCACGGCUAACUACGUGCCAGCAGCCGCGGUAAUACGUAGGUGGCAAGCGUUGUCCGGAAUUAUUGGGCGUAAAGGGCUCGCAGGCGGUUUCUUAAGUCUGAUGUGAAAGCCCCCGGCUCAACCGGGGAGGGUCAUUGGAAACUGGGAAACUUGAGUGCAGAAGAGGAGAGUGGAAUUCCACGUGUAGCGGUGAAAUGCGUAGAGAUGUGGAGGAACACCAGUGGCGAAGGCGACUCUCUGGUCUGUAACUGACGCUGAGGAGCGAAAGCGUGGGGAGCGAACAGGAUUAGAUACCCUGGUAGUCCACGCCGUAAACGAUGAGUGCUAAGUGUUAGGGGGUUUCCGCCCCUUAGUGCUGCAGCUAACGCAUUAAGCACUCCGCCUGGGGAGUACGGUCGCAAGACUGAAACUCAAAGGAAUUGACGGGGGCCCGCACAAGCGGUGGAGCAUGUGGUUUAAUUCGAAGCAACGCGAAGAACCUUACCAGGUCUUGACAUCCUCUGACAACCCUAGAGAUAGGGCUUUCCCUUCGGGGACAGAGUGACAGGUGGUGCAUGGUUGUCGUCAGCUCGUGUCGUGAGAUGUUGGGUUAAGUCCCGCAACGAGCGCAACCCUUGAUCUUAGUUGCCAGCAUUCAGUUGGGCACUCUAAGGUGACUGCCGGUGACAAACCGGAGGAAGGUGGGGAU